AUGCACAUGCGAGCCAGUUGCUCCGGGGAUCGGCCAGAUGCACCCAUCCAUUGCGUUUCCCCAAUUUUCUGGCGAGAACCCACGUCUCUGGAAGACGUUGUGCGAGCAGUACUUUCACAUGUUCGCGAUUCAGGAGAAAUUCUGGGUUCCCAUGGCCACGCUCAACUUCUCGGGCACGGCAGCAGUGUGGCUGCAGUCGAUUCAGAAGAAAUCUCUGAAUUCGACUGGGAAUCGUUCUGUUCUUUGUUGUGCACCCAUUUUGGUCGAGAUCGCCAUCAACUCCUCAUCCGCCAAUUUUACACGCUUGCACAAACAACAACUAUGGCAGAUUACAUCGAACGAUUUGAGCAAAUUAUCAGUCAUUUGUCUGCUUACUUUGACUCAAUUCAUCCUUAUUAUUACCUCACUCAUUUGUGUAGGGGCUUCGGGCGGACAUACGGGCGAUUGUGCUGGUGCAACGACCGCCUGAUCUGGACACGACGUGUGCGCUAG
rnacentral:rRNA from 1 species